GCUGGCUGUACUAGAAGUAGCUUCGCUAACCCGCAAGGGAGGCWGGUUCCUAAGGUAUGGUCAGUGAUUGGGGUGAAGUCGUAACAAGGUAGCUGUAGGUGAACCUGCAGAAGGAUCA
rnacentral:rRNA from 1 species